rnacentral:rRNA from 1 species
CUACGGGGUGCUGCAGGCGAGAAAACUUUGCAAUGUGCGAAAGCACGACAAGGUUAAUCCGAGUGGUUUCUGCUAAAGGAACCUUUUGUCGGUCCUAGAAACACCGAUGAAUAAGGGGUGGGCAAGUUCUGGUGUCAGCCGCCGCGGUAAAACCAGCACCUCAAGUUGUCAGGAUGAUUAUUGGGCCUAAAGCAUCCGUAGCCGGCUCUGUUAGUUUUCGGUUAAAUCUGUAUGCUCAACAUACAGGCUGCCGGGAAUACUGCAGAGCUAGGGAGUGGGAGAGGUAGACGGUACUCGGUAGGAAGGGGUAAAAUCCUUUGAUCUAUUGAUGACCACCUGUGGCGAAGGCGGUCUACCAGAACACGUCCGACGGUGAGGGAUGAAAGCUGGGGGAGCAAACCGGAUUAGAUACCCUCGUAGUC